rnacentral:lncRNA from 1 species
GAGCCUGCUGAUGCAGAGAAUGAAUUCAGAAUGGAACUUAUCGAUUUCUGCGAUGAUCUUUAUAAAAGAAGUAAUGCAGACUCUGCCUUUUCUAAAGAAGAAUUACGGAACUAUAAUAAAGAAGGCCUCAAGGAUUUUAUACCACUGAAAGGCAGAACGAAUGAAAUCUCACCUCAUCUGAUUGCGAAAGUUUUCUUUAAUAAGGUGACAUUUGAUCAAAAAUAAAAGAAAAUAUGGGAGGAAUUCAGCUACGAAGACUUCUGUGGAAGAGAUGCCUAGGAAAUUGGUUCAUUGGAUUAUGGAAGCUGACUAUUUCCAACAUCUGCAGGAUGAGUUGGCAAGCUGGAAACCAGGAAAGGUUUUCAGACAACAUUGAUCACCAGUGGACGCUACUCUAAUUCCUAACUUUUCCAAAUACCAUCAAAACAAAGUUGUGAACCAACACUUACUGAAGAUUUGAGGAAAAUGAUGAAAACUAGUAGUACUGUACUGUAUAAGCAGCAACUAAAAGCUGAAUAUUAGCCAUUAUUCGACUACAUUUUGUUGACUAUUUGUCAUCUUAGAAUAUUUCCUAUGGACUCCUUCCUCUAUGGACCAGAUUUAAUGUAACUGUUUAUGUUGCCUGCUCUGUCCCUCCACCUCCUUUUUCCAGUUGCCCAGAGAUGUCAAACUUUUCUUGUAUAACUAUGGAAAAUGGCUAUCUUAUAUUGUUUUACUUACUCUCAUCUAGCUUAAGCCCUUUAGUAUCUUCUAAAUUCACUGACAAACAGACCUUGUCUUAUUAAUUAAAAAAAUCACUUACUCCAUAGCCUAAUUAUGCAACUUUCCUAGAUAAUACGUGUCAUAUUUUUCGUAAAAUUAUAUUUCCC